CCUACGGGAGGCAGCAGUGAGGAAUAUUGGUCAAUGGCCGCAGGGCUGAACCAGCCAAGUCGCGUGAGUGAUGACGGUCCUAUGGAUUGUAAACCUCUUUUGUCAGGGAGCAAAGGGCGCCACGUGUGGCGUUUUGCGAGUACCUGAAGAAAAAGCAUCGGCUAACUCCGUGCCAGCAGCCGCGGUAAUACGGAGGAUGCGAGCGUUAUCCGGAUUUAUUGGGUUUAAAGGGUGCGCAGGCGGAGGGGCAAGUCAGCGGUAAAAUUGCGGGGCUCAACCCCGUACUGCCGUUGAAACUGCAUGCCUUGAGUGCGCGAGAAGUAUGCGGAAUGCGUGGUGUAGCGGUGAAAUGCAUAGAUAUCACGCAGAACUCCGAUUGCGAAGGCAGCAUACCGGCGCGCAACUGACGCUCAUGCACGAAAGCGUGGGUAUCGAACAGGAUUAGAUACCCUGGUAGUC
rnacentral:rRNA from 1 species